GUCAACUACAAGUUUCAUCGUCCAAUUAUGCACAGAAGAAAAAUCCACGCAAUAGCUAUAUAGUGUUUAAUGUCGUCUUAUAAGGUCUGUUAAAGAGUCAAAUGUUUGUUCCUUCAUCUCAAAUCCAGAAGACUACAAAUUCGCAGAAAUGAGGCCUUCAUGGAAUCAGAGUGAUUCACUGAGUGUGAUAUUUUCUAAUUUCUCAGCUGAAGGAAUUAGAGAGAGAGAAUUCUCAAAAGUGCAGCUAUGUAUUUGUGUUCAUUCAUGAUCUUAUUUAUUAUGGAUGAGACAUUGGCAUAACUUUGCAGUUCUAAGCUUUGCAGUCUGAUAUUUGAUUUUAAUUUUUUUCCUACACUGGUGCUCAUUUGUUUAAUUGCAGAGUCAUUUGGUACAGC
rnacentral:misc_RNA from 1 species